UAGGGAAUUUUGCGCAAUGGGCGAAAGCCUGACGCAGCGACGCCGCGUGGGUGAUGAAGGCCUUCGGGUUGUAAAGCCCUGUGGGGAGGGACGAAUAAGUGUCGGUUAACACCCGGCGCGAUGACGGUACCUCCUUAGCAAGCACCGGCUAACUCUGUG
rnacentral:rRNA from 1 species